AGACGGAGGGGGCUAGCGUUGUUCGGAAUUACUGGGCGUAAAGCGCGCGUAGGCGGAUUGAUCAGUCAGAGGUGAAAUCCCAGGGCUCAACCCUGGAACUGCCUUUGAUACUGUCAGUCUUGAGUUCGAGAGAGGUGAGUGGAAUUCCGAGUGUAGAGGUGAAAUUCGUAGAUAUUAGGAGGAACACCAGUGGCGAAGGCGGCUCACUGGCUCGAUACUGACGCUGAGGUGCGAAAGCGUGGGGAGCAAACAGGAUUAGAAACCCCAGUAGUCC
rnacentral:rRNA from 1 species